rnacentral:misc_RNA from 1 species
GAUGAAGAACGCAGCGAAAUGCGAUAAGUAGUGUGAAUUGCAGAAUUCAGUGAAUCAUCGAAUCUUUGAACGCACAUUGCGCCCCUUGGUAUUCCAUGGGGCAUGCCUGUUCGAGCGUCAUUUGUACCUUCAAGCUUUGCUUGGUGUUGGGUGUUUGUCUCGCCUUUGCGUGUAGACUCCUUAAAAUAAUUGGCAGCCGGCGUAUUGAUUUCGGAGCGCAGUACAUCUCGCGCUUUGCACUCAUAACGACAGCGUCCAAAAGUACAUUUUACACUCUUGACCUCGGAUCAGGUAGGGAUACCCGCUGAACUUAAGCAUAUCAAUAAGCGGAGGA